rnacentral:rRNA from 1 species
UCGGGAAUUUUGGGCAAUGGGCGAAAGCCUGACCCAGCAACGCCACGUGAAGGAUGAAGUAUUUCGGUAUGUAAACUUCGUAAGAAUAGGAAGAAUAAAUGACGGUACUAUUUGUAAGGUCCGGCUAACUACGUGCCAGCAGCCGCGGUAAUACGUAGGGACCAAGCGUUGUUCGGAUUUACUGGGCGUAAAGGGCGCGUAGGCGGCAAUUCAAGUCAUCUGUGAAAUCUCCGGGCUUAACUCGGAACGGUCAGAUGAUACUGCUUUGCUAGAGUGCAGAAGGGACAAUCGGAAUUCUUGGUGUAGCGGUGAAAUGCGUAGAUAUCAAGAGGAACACCUGAGGUGAAGACGGGUUGCUGGGCUGACACUGACGCUGAGGCGCGAAAGCCAGGGGAGCAAACGGGAUUAGAUACCCCCGUAGUCCCUGAGCGGGCUGGCAAGGCGCAU